rnacentral:rRNA from 1 species
AGGACGAACGCUGGCGGCGUGCCUAACACAUGCAAGUCGAACGAGAAUUUAGAGAAAGAUUUCUUCGGAAUGAAUUUUUAAAGGAAAGUGGCGGACGGGUGAGUAACACGUGGGUAACCUGCCUCAUAGAGGGGAAUAGCCUUUCGAAAGGAAGAUUAAUACCGCAUAAGAUUGUAGUACCGCAUGGUACAGCAAUUAAAGGAGUAAUCCGCUAUGAGAUGGACCCGCGUCGCAUUAGCUAGUUGGUGAGGUAACGGCUCACCAAGGCGACGAUGCGUAGCCGACCUGAGAGGGUGAUCGGCCACAUUGGGACUGAGACACGGCCCAGACUCCUACGGGAGGCAGCAGUGGGGAAUAUUGCACAAUGGGGGAAACCCUGAUGCAGCAACGCCGCGUGAGUGAUGACGGUCUUCGGAUUGUAAAGCUCUGUCUUUAGGGACGAUAAUGACGGUACCUAAGGAGGAAGCCACGGCUAACUACGUG